ACGCCGCUAUAAGAGAGCACCGGCACGAUUUCGUCUUCUGUGGGCACGGUGUACCCAAAGCUGCCAUGUCGCUAAACGGAACGCUUCUCUGCUUGGUGCAGGUUAGUUCCCGUUCUAGUUCAAUACGUAGUGAUUGUCGAGGCUUAGUGGUUCUGUCGUGCCCACGGCGUUGUUUUGUAAUGGCGUAUGACUGUUUUGUCGUUUGCCAACUACUAAUUUGCGGUGAUGUCGAGGAAAACCCUGGGCCCACCCAGAAGAAACUGUACGA